UGUUGCACAGUUGGCAUCCUAUCAUGGUGCCAUGCUGGAAUCGACUGUGCUCCUGAGAGCGACCUAAAUGUUUGGAGAAGCAGUCUGUAUGCCUAGGUGCUUGAAUUUACACACUUGUGGCCGUGAAAGUGAUCGGAAGACCUGAAUAUAGUGAUUUGGAUGGGCAAGCUUUAUUGUCAUUUCUUACAGCAGUCUUCGGGAAUAAUUCUCCGGGUUUUAUAAGGAACAAUCAAAGCUCUUCUUUGGAUGUUGGCUGCCUUUUGUUCUGUUCUCUGUCGAGAUGAUCCCACACAGCCUCAAGUUGAGAUAUGACUUUUAGAUACUGCUCACCAGCUGCUGCAGCUUCAUGUUUGCUUUAAAGAAGUGCAUUACAAUGAAGUUUUUAUAUUUAACUGGGAAAACCUCUCCUAAUCAUCCAUUCAGGACCAUAAACAGCACUUUAUUGUCUUCUGAAGCUGCUGUGUUGUUCUGCUUAUUCUGUCCUAAAAUAUAUCCUUUUGUUCUGUGACUAUUCUUUGUCCAAUUUAUAAGAAACUGUUAAUAUCUCAAUAAACUUUAUGA